rnacentral:rRNA from 1 species
UGUUUGAUGUUCUAACGUUGGCCCCUAAUCGGGGUUGCGGACAGUGUCUGGUGGGUAGUUUGACUGGGGCGGUCUCCUCCUAAAGAGUAACGGAGGAGCACGAAGGUUGGCUAAUCCUGGUCGGACAUCAGGAGGUUAGUGCAAUGGCAUAAGCCAGCUUGACUGCGAGCGUGACGGCGCGAGCAGGUGCGAAAGCAGGUCAUAGUGAUCCGGUGGUUCUGAAUGGAAGGGCCAUCGCUCAACGGAUAAAAGGUACUCCGGGGAUAACAGGCUGAUACCGCCCAAGAGUUCAUAUCGACGGCGGUGUUUGGCACCUCGAUGUCGGCUCAUCACAUCCUGGGGCUGAAGUAGGUCCCAAGGGUAUGGCUGUUCGCCAUUUAAAGUGGUACGCGAGCUGGGUUUAGAACGUCGUGAGACAGUUCGGUCCCUAUCUGCCGUGGGCGCUGGAGAACUGAGGGGGGCUGCUCCUAGUACGAGAGGACCGGAGUGGACGCAUCACUGGUGUUCGGGUUGUCAUGCCAAUGGCACUGCCCGGUAGCUAAAUGCGGAAGAGAUAAGUGCUGAAAGCAUCUAAGCACGAAACUUGCCCCGAGAUGAGUUCUCCCUGACUCCUUGAGGGUCCUGAAGGAACGUUGAAGACGACGACGUUGAUAGGCCGGGUGUGUAAGCGCAGCGAUGCGUUGAGCUAACCGGUACUAAUGAACCGUGAGGCUUAACCUUACAACGCCGAAG